AGAGUUUGAUCCUGGCUCAGAACGAACGCUGGCGGCAUGCUUAACACAUGCAAGUCGCACGGGCAGUAAUGUCAGUGGCGGACGGGUGAGUAACACGUGGGAAUCUACCUUAUAGUCAUGGAUAACUAUUGGAAACGAUAGAUAAUACAGGAUGAGUUGGAGACAAGAAAGGAGCAAUCUGCUAUAAGAUGAGCCUGCGUUUGAUUAGCUAGUUGGUAAGGUAAGAGCUUACCAAGGCGAUGAUCAAUAGCUGUUCUGAGAGGAAGAUCAGCCACAUUGGGAUUGAGAUAAGGCCCAAACUCCUAUGGGAGGCAGCAGUGAGGAAUAUUGGUCAAUGGGCGCAAGCCUGAACCAGCCAUGCCGCGUGCAGGAAGACGGUCCUAUGGAUUGUAAACUGCUUUUAUACGAGAAGAAACACUACCUUGCGAGGUAGCUUGACGGUAUCGUAAGAAUAAGGAUCGGCUAACUCCGUGCCAGCAGCCGCGGUAAUACGGAGGGUACUAGCGUUAAUCGGAAUUAUUGGGCGUAAAGAGUUUGUAGGCGGUAUAGUAAGUCAAGUAUAAAAUCUUUAAGCUUAACUUAAAAUAUGUAUUUGAUACUACUUUAACUUUGAGUUUAUUAGAGGGUUGUGGAAUUUUCAGUGUAGCAGUGAAAUGCGUAGAUAUUGAAAGGAACAUCAAUGGCGAAGGCAGCAACCUGGGUAUAAACUGACGCUAAAGAACGAAAGCAUGGGUAGCAAACAGGAUUAGAUACCCUGGUAGUCCAUGCUGUAAACGAUGAUUGCUAGAUGUUGGUAUAAAAUAUUUAUAUUAGUAUCUGAGCUAACGCAUUAAGCAAUCCGCCUGAGUAGUACGGUCGCAAGAUUAAAACUCAAAGAAAUUGACGGGGACCCGCACAAGCGGUGGAGCAUGUGGUUUAAUUCGAUACAACGCGAAGAACCUUACCAGGGUUUGACAUGAUACGAA
rnacentral:rRNA from 1 species